rnacentral:tRNA from 3 species
GGACGGUUAGCUCAGCUGGGAGAGCACCUGCCUUACAAGCAGGGGGUCGCAGGUUCGAGCCCUGCACCGUCCA